ACAAAGAACAAAUCUCUCACAAACGUAUUCAGAUUUGGAAUGAAAUUAAAACAAGAGUGUACAGGGAUUCCAAGCAAUCAUAUUUAGCUCAAUUCAAAUAAGAAGGUUAGAUAAAUUCAAUGUCAAAAUAAAUGAACUGGAAUAGGCACAUAUCAGGAGCAAAUGCGGAACAAUGGAAUAUACAUGUGUCUAUAUGGGUCAAUACGAUAUAGCAUAAACAUUCCACAAUAGUUU
rnacentral:lncRNA from 1 species